UUUGCUGCACGCCAGCCGUGACGGCGCCUGCGUCUCUCUUGCGAUCAUCGAUCUAUUUCUUGUAACUACGUCACCGACGGCGGCCAUGCCUCUCCUGCUAGCCAUGCUGCAUCCAUGAAGACGACGUCGCCCCAGUUUCUGCCCAGCAGGUCUCGGUGUCGAGCGCUCUCCACCAGCCAUUCCACUCGUCAGAAUCGGCCGAAACUCAGCCAAGGAUGGAAGCCUAUUAUGACGUCCUCGUGUAACUAAAUAAAAGACGACGGCGGCGGCGGCGACGGUGGUGGCCACAACGGCGACGGCAAUGAGACGAGGUGUUGCUGGUUGUACCAUUGAACUCUAUAACGUGGCGAAAGAUGAAGCGGCUCCCUUGUAUCUUCUUCCAAUCGACAUCGAUCACGGCAAGCUCAUUUUGAUCGAUUGCUCGUGAGAUGGGUUACGCCAGCCGGCGGCGCUUCUGCUCCAUGCAUAUGGAUGUACUCACGUUUUCUCUGGCAGCGGCCAGACCUCCCUGAUUCAAUGGACUCCGACGACACGAUCUACAUGAUGACUAUCUAAAUUGACGCGACAUGAUUUACCCAUCAUAUGUAAUAAGCACGCAUAAAGCGUGAUAUGCUCACACAACUUUAGUCUUGUUAUUUGCGUGGACAAAUAUCAUUGUAAAGAAACCAUUUAUUCCCUGAUGGUGUAUUCUUCUUAAUUAAUUGUGCUAGUCUGUCUUGUAAUCUACUUUGAAUAAAUUAUACUUUGUUUUAUUAUACACUUAUUUUCUAAACGCACCAUACUCUUUUUAUCUUUAAUCCUCAUUGUUAACGAAUUAUAUGUCAUUUGUUGUCAGUAUAUACUCCAACACAAAAAGGUAACAUAUACUCCAUCACAAAAAAGUGCUAUUUACUCCACAAAAAGUAUAUACUCCACUGUUUCCCAACAAGUAUAUA